CCCUUAGAUGUUCUGGGCCGCACGCGCGCUACACUGACGAAGCCAGCGAGCAUCUCCUGCGCCGAAAGGUGCGGGGAAUCUUGUGAAACUUCGUCGUGCUGGGGAUUGAUUUUUGAAAUUCUUGAUCAUAAACGAGGAAUUCCUAGUAAGCGCAAGUCAGCAGCUUGCGUUGAUUACGUCCCUGCCCUUUGUACACACCGCCCGUCGCUCCUACCGAUUGAAUGAUCCGAUGAAUAUCAUGGAUUGAGGAUGCAAGUAGGUUCGCCUAUCUACAUCUUCGAGAAGUGAAGUAAAUCUUAUCAUUUAGAGGAAGGAGAAGUCGUAACA
rnacentral:rRNA from 1 species